rnacentral:rRNA from 1 species
GUCUACAGCCAUACCACCCUGAACACGCCCGAUCUCGUCUGAUCUCGGAAGCUAAGCAGGGUCGGGCCUGGUUAGUACUUGGAUGGGAGAAAUAGGUAGAGGAUU